rnacentral:rRNA from 1 species
CUCCUACGGGAGGCAGCAGUGGGGAAUUUUGGACAAUGGGGGCAACCCUGAUCCAGCCAUUCCGCGUGAGUGAAGAAGGCCUUCGGGUUGUAAAGCUCUUUCAGCCGGAACGAAACGGUACGCCCUAAUACGGUGUGCUAAUGACGGUACCGGCAGAAGAAGCACCGGCUAACUACGUGCCAGCAGCCGCGGUAAUACGUAGGGUGCGAGCGUUAAUCGGAAUUACUGGGCGUAAAGCGUGCGCAGGCGGAUUGUUAAGCAAGAUGUGAAAUCCCCGGGCUUAACCUGGGAAUGGCAUUUUGAACUGGCAGUCUAGAGUGUGUCAGAGGGGGGUGGAAUUCCACGUGUAGCAGUGAAAUGCGUAGAUAUGUGGAGGAACACCAAUGGCGAAGGCAGCCCCCUGGGAUAACACUGACGCUCAUGUACGAAAGCGUGGGUAGCAAACAGGAUUAGAUACCCUGGUAGUCCACGCCCUAAACGAUGUCAACUGGUUGUUGGGGGAGUGAAAUCCCUUAGUAACGAAGCUAACGCGUGAAGUUGACCGCCUGGGGAGUACGGUCGCAAGAUUAAAACUCAAAGGAAUUGACGGA